rnacentral:piRNA from 1 species
UCCUAAGCUAUGGAAGAUUUCUCGCUGA